UAGGGAAUAUUAGAAAUGGACGAAAGUCUGAUCUAGCAACACCGCGUGUGCGAAGAAGGCCUUCGGGUUGUAAAGCACUUUUUGGAAGGAUUAGGAAGGAAUGUACUUCCAGAAUAAGUCUCGGCUAACUACGUGCCAGCAGCCGCGGUAACACGUAGGAGGCAAACGUUAUCCGGAUUUACUGGGCGUAAAGCGCGUGUAGGUGGUUCUGUAAGUAGGGCGUGAAAGCUCCUGGCUCAACUGGGAGAGGCCGUUCUAAACUGCAGAACUAGAGGAUGGUAGAGGGAGGUUGAAUUUCAGGUGUAGCGGUGGAAUGCGCAGAUAUCUGAAGGAACACCAGUGGCGAAAGCGGCCUCCUGGACCAUUCCUGACACUCAGACGCGAAAGCUAGGGUAGCAAACG
rnacentral:rRNA from 1 species